UAAAAUUGUAAUUAGAAAAAUUAAAUUAGUAUUAGUUAUGAUCUUGAAAAUUAAAGAUUUUGGCGGUAUUUUAAUCUUUUCAGAGGAAUCUGUCCUAUAAUUGAUAAUCCACGAUUAAUUAAACUUUUUUUUUAAAUUUGUAUAUCGUUGUAGUUUGAAUAUUUUAAAAGAAAUUAAAUUUUCAAGAUUUAUAAAAAUAAUAGAAUUCAGAUCAUGAUGCAGUUUAUAAAAAAGGAGAGAUGGAUUACAAAAAAAUUAUUUUUGGAUUAAUAGUUGAAAAUUAUUAUGAAAUUGGAUUUGAGAGUAAUUUAAGUAUAUUUUUAUUAAAUGAUUUUAGUUCUAAAAUAUGC
rnacentral:rRNA from 1 species